rnacentral:rRNA from 1 species
UAGGGAAUCUUCGGCAUUGGGGGCAACCCUGACCGAGCAACGCCGCGUGAGUGAAGAAGGUUUUCGGAUCGUAAAGCUCUGUUGUAAGAGAAGAACGUGUGUGAGAGUGGAAAGUUCACACAGUGACGGUAACUUACCAGAAAGGGACGGCUAACUACGUGCCAGCAGCCGCGGUAAUACGUAGGUCCCGAGCGUUGUCCGGAUUUAUUGGGCGUAAAGCGAGCGCAGGCGGUUUAAUAAGUCUGAAGUUAAAGGCAGUGGCUUAACCAUUGUUCGCUUUGGAAACUGUUAAACUUGAGUGCAGAAGGGGAGAGUGGAAUUCCAUGUGUAGCGGUGAAAUGCGUAGAUAUAUGGAGGAACACCGGUGGCGAAAGCGGCUCUCUGGUCUGUAACUGACGCUGAGGCUCGAAAGCGUGGGGAGCAAACAGG